rnacentral:lncRNA from 1 species
GGGAUUUUUGAAAAAAGGUGGGAUUUAGAAGUAGAAGAUAAUUAGAUAAAUUAUUUUGGGGUUUGGCCAAAUGGCCAGUUAGUGAUAAAAAGUGUUAUUGUCUUAUUGAGUAAUAGUAAUAAAAAUAUUAUUGGCUAUUGGGCAACCUUGCCAAAUGACUGCGCACUUGCGCAGUGCUUCAGUGUGCAGACGACAGUUUUUUGUGUUUCAAUUUGAAAGUAAUGUAAACAAUGGCCAAUAAACCAACCAGUAAAGAAUGUGAAGUGAGUAAACAAAAUGUUUGCAAAGGGAGUAACAGUCAACCUAAACCUAUGCACCCUAUGUUCUCCAAAACUAAAAAGAAUCAAGUCGUUAACAACAGUUCAACAGCACAACAACCAUUAAACAUUGAAGUCAACAGUUCAAGUGAUACACAAGAAGUCAUUGCCAUUGUCGAUACAGUUUCACAAAACUGUUACGUUACAAGAAAUGAUGAAGCAAUAUCCUUAACUGAAGACAACAUUGCAACAUGAACACUGAGUGCAUUAUUUGAAAGAUUUACGGUUUUAAAUAAGUUCUGUGAUCGUUUAAAAACUGAAAAAGAAUGGAAUGCUCAUGCCCUACUCCCUACGUCUGCUUUCGGGGUUCUAACUGAGUCCGCAGUUUUUCGCUUGCCUGCGGAAGAAUAUUGGCAAAAAGUUUUUGCAAAUCACGAGGCCACUUUCGCUAACUUGUGCGUUUGCGUUUCAAUGCUUUUUAGUUUAAUCGUUAGUAACGUAAUUGCAGAAAGAAAAUUCAGUGAACUUAACAAUACUAAAACGGACAAAAGAACUAGUAUAGAUGAUGAUACCGUAGUUAGUCUAAUGAGAAUAAAGUCUUGGUUAAAAGCUCAUGAUAAGAGUGCUGAUGAAGUCAAUAUCACCGACGAAUUAGUCCAGGCCGUUAUUAAAGUAAAAUCCAAUGCCACCAUUCCAUAUUCUAAGUCAUUGUAAGUUUUGUGCAAUAGACCUUUUACUAGUUUUAUAUGAUGCGAAAUUUCCCUCCCAUGUGCCAUGUCCUAUAUAUCCUCUAUGCCAUUUGUUUCACCAAGACAGUUUAACGCUCGAUAAAUAAAAUACAAUUUAACCCUGAGUCAGAGACUUAUAUUUUGAAAUAAAAUUUUGGGAAAAUAGGUGGGAUUUCAAAAAAACAGGCGGGAAACGUGGGAUUUUAUAAA